GACGAACGCUGGCGGCGUGCUUAACACAUGCAAGUCGAACGAAAAGGCCCUGCUUUUGUGGGGUGCUCGUGUGGCGAGCGGGUGGGUAACACGGGAGUAACCUGCCCUUGACUUUUGGAUAACUUCAGGGAACUGGGGCUAAUAACGGAUAGACGCUCCUGAUCCAUAGUGUGGGUUGUAAAGUUUGGGCGGUUGGGGAUGGACUCGCGGCUUAUCAGCUUGUUGGUGGGGUAGUGGCUUACCAGGGCUUUGACGGGUAGCCGGCCUGAGAGGGUGACCGGCCACAUUGGGACUGAGAGACGGACCAGACUCCUACGGGAGGCAGCAGUGGGGAAUAUUGCACAAUGGGCGGACGCCUGAGGCAGCAACGCCGCGUGCGGGAUGACGGCUUUCGGGUUGUAAACCGCUUUCGCCUGUGACGAAGCGUGAGUGACGGUAACGGGUAAAGAAGCACCGGCUAACUACGUG
rnacentral:rRNA from 1 species